CAAGGUAAACUUUUCCCUACAAUUUGCAUUCACAAUUCAAGGUUGCAAAUAUUAGGAACAUUGUGGCUGGAUUCAAGGACAACAAAAUACUGCCCUUUUUGAGUUCAUAGAUUCCGCCCUGAAACAGAGUCAACAAAACAACAGCGCGAAUUCCCAUGAUGCAGUUCGACCAAGCGACGCCAGCCAGACGCCAGGAUCCACCCCUAAACAAUCCUAACCUCUUUGUCUUUGUCUUUGUGUGUCUUGUCAGUUUGUCUUUUUGCGACGUUUGUUUCUCGCGUUAUUACUAUAUCAGAGUUUUUAGACAUAAAGUAUUCAUAUUGAAGUUAGUUUUUGUCAAUUUUCAAUUUCUUUGUUCAUAGUUAAUUCCAUAGUGUUCGAUUUUAGAAGACUAACUGCAACAAAAGUGCUUGUGAGCCAACGAAACAUAAAGUAGAACCUCGAUAGUUCGACACUCCCUGUAGUUCGACACAGGCCGUGAUGACAAGACAUGGCAUCAGUGGCCGAUGACGGGUUCACCAAGGAAAAGAGGAGUUAUUGGUGCACAGAAUAGGAACAUCAGGCUGAGGUUAUGCGACAGUAAAUAAUGUAUAAGUAAAAUGUCACUUAAUUUAACUCAUGUUCUAAUUUUCAAGUUUGUUUUAUACUUUAUAUUUUCAUAAAAUAAAUUUACUAUAACCAAUGUCACUUGCUACAUUUUAUUUAUACCCCCACAAAUAGUGAUAUUUUGGCUAUGU